rnacentral:rRNA from 1 species
GUAGGGUGCAAGCGUUAUCCGGAAUUAUUGGGGGGCGUAAAGGGGCUCGUAGGGCGGGUUCGUCGCGUCCGGGUGUGAAAGUCCAUCGCUUAACGGUGGAUCUGCGCCCGGGUACGGGCGGGCUGGAGUGCGGUAGGGAGACUGGAAUUCCCGGUGUAACGGUGGAAUGUGUAGAUAUCGGGAAGAACACCAAUGGCGAAGGCAGGUCUCUGGGCCGUUACUGACGCUGAGGAGCGAAAGCGUGGGGAGCGAACAGGAUUAGAUACCCUGGUAGUCCACGCCGUAAACGGUGGAUGCUGGAUGUGGGGCCCGUUCCACGGGUUCCGUGUCGGAGCUAACGCGUUAAGCAUCCCGCCUGGGGAGUACGGCCGCAAGGCUA